ACUGGUUCCGUUCUGGGUUAUUUGAAUUUUGGAGCUGUAGUUUCCUUCAGUUUUGAGCAGAGCCGUUGUAACCAUGGACACGUCUUCCAAGGGCCACACAACAGAAGGAUGUUCAACAGAAGUGGCAAGAUGGAGGGGUGCAUCGAUUACCAACUUCUCAUCUUCAUACGGAAAUGUAGAAGACUGUUACGUGCAAGACAAGUGCUUUCAGGUGGCUGUGGGUGUUGAGGGGUGAUCCGUGGCCUAAUGCUUCUUGGACGCAAGUUGGGGCUCAAUCAGCCCCGACUGGUUCGCACUGAUGAUGCGUCCCAGUGCAUCCAUAGGAUAAAUCUUUCAACUGCACGCUUGACCAAUAUGUUUUCUCCCUCCUCUCACCUUUGCUUCUCCAGGGGCAGACUGGGGUCCACUCUAGCUUCAUCCCCAUCCAGUGGGGCAC